rnacentral:rRNA from 1 species
AGAGUUUGAUCAUGGCUCAGAACAAACGCUGGCGGCGUGCCUAACACAUGCAAGUCGAACAAGAAACUUCCCGCUUGCGGGAGGGAGUAAAGUGGCGCACGGGUGAGUAACGCGUGGGUAACCUACCUUUGAAUCUGGAAUAACCAGCCGAAAGGCUGACUAAUACCGGAUACGGUUUUGAGGACUUAGGUUCUCUAAAUUAAAGGUGACCUCUUCAUGAAAGUUGCCGUUCAUAGAUGGGCCCGCGUACCAUUAGCUAGUUGGUGGGGUAAUGGCCUACCAAGGCGACGAUGGUUAGCUGGUCUGAGAGGAUGAUCAGCCACACUGGAACUGGAACACGGUCCAGACUCCUACGGGAGGCAGCAGUGAGGAAUUUUGCGCAAUGGGGGAAACCCUGACGCAGCAACGCCGCGUGAGCGAAGAAGGCCCUCGGGGUCGUAAAGCUCUGUCAAGUGGGAAAAAAAUCUUUUAAUCAAUAGUUAAAAGACUUGAUGGACCCACUGGAGGAAGCACCGGCUAACUCCGUGCCAGCAGCCGCGGUAAUACGGAGGGUGCAAGCGUUGUUCGGAUUUACUGGGCGUAAAGAGCGGGUAGGCGGUUUAGCAAGUCAGAUGUAAAGCCCCUGGGCUUAACCCGGGAAGUGCAUUUGAAACUGCUUCACUAGAGUAUGGGAGAGGAGAUUGGAAUUCCUGGUGUAGAGGUGAAAUUCGUAGAUAUCAGGAGGAACACCCGUGGCGAAGGCGAUUCUCUGGACCAAUACUGACGCUGAGACGCGAAAGCGUGGGGAGCAAACAGGAUUAGAUACCCUGGUAGUCCACGCCGUAAACGAUGAGAACUAGGUGUAGUGGGUAUUGACCCCUGCUGUGCCGAAGUUAACGCAUUAAGUUCUCCGCCUGGGGAGUACGGCCGCAAGGCUAAAACUCAAAGGAAUUGACGGGGGCCCGCACAAGCGGUGGAGCAUGUGGUUUAAUUCGACGCAACGCGAAGAACCUUACCUGGGUUUGACACCCUCUGAUCGUCUGGGAAACCAGAUUUUUCCGGCUUUGUCGGAACAGAGUGACAGGUGCUGCAUGGCUGUCGUCAGCUCGUGUCGUGAGAUGUUGGGUUAAGUCCCGCAACGAGCGUAACCCUUGUCUUUAGUUGCCAUUAUUAAGUUAGGCACUCUAAAGAGACUGCCUCGGUUAACGGGGAGGAAGGUGGGGAUGACGUCAAGUCCUCAUGGCCUUUAUAUCCAGGGCUACACACGUGCUACAAUGGGCUGUACAAAGGGUUGCUAACCCGCGAGGGUACGCUAAUCCCAAAAAGCAGUUCUCAGUUCGGAUUGAAGUCUGCAACUCGACUUCAUGAAGGUGGAAUCGCUAGUAAUCGUGGAUCAGCAUGCCACGGUGAAUACGUUCCCGGGCCUUGUACACACCGCCCGUCACACCACGAAAGUCGACUGUACCAGAAGUUGCUGGGCUAACCUCUUCGGAGGAGGCAGGUACCUAAGGUACGGCCGGUAAUUGGGGUGAAGUCGUAACAAGGUA